rnacentral:sRNA from 1 species
UCACUCCAGCCACCCCACUCUGGAUCAUUGGAUGGGGCUUUACGAAGCAGAAUGGAGGGAAGAUGUCUGACAUACUGCUGCAGGCGUCAGUCCAGGUCAUUGACAGCACACGGUGCAAUGCAGACGAUGCGUACCAGGGGGAAGUCACCGAGAAGAUGAUGUGUGCAGGCAUCCCGGAAGGGGGUGUGGACACCUGCCAGGUGGGGCCUCCAAGAAUCAUGGGGAGUUCUAAGAAUAGGGUUUAGGUCCUAGAGAGAUGAGAAAACCCAGAGGCUGCAUGCCCCACAGGAAGCCUUGCAUAUCAUGGGCACUCAAUGUGUGAUGAUGGGAGGAAGAGAGGGAGGGAAGGAAAGGAUACAGUCAGAUAAAAGUGUACCAAUAGAUGAGUGGGUGGAUGGAUGGAUGCAGACAAGCAGAGAGAUUUCAAAUGUCUCUUUCACAUUCGAAGAUGAUGUUACUGGCUGGGCAUGGUGGCUCACGCU